UUCUGUAGGCAUUGUGCAGGUAAGACGUGCGUGGGCCAAGAAGUGUGUUUGCCCAUUGUUUUGUCACGAGUUUGGUUAACUUGUAAGGUGUGUGUUGGUCUGGUGUCAUCCCUCUCGUGGCGGUUUUAUUGCUUGUUGUGGGUCGGGAAGAUCCUGCCGUGAAGGAAGAACCGAACUAGUGUGUCCUAACAACCCCCAACCUGCGGCAGGAUACUGGCUCUUCUAACAUCUUCCACAGUGGAAUUGGACCAUGCCUCGCAUCAGCUGCCUUGAGAACACGUUGCUUUGCAGCACCUUCCAUGGAGGACUUGGACCCUACCUUGUACCAGCUCUGUCCUAACAGCACGUGAUGCCAUCCAGAGAGGGAGGACACAACCUCCCUGCACUUUCCACGAAGAAAUUGGACCCUGCCUCGCACCAACUCUGUUCUGGUAACACUUGGUGCCAUCCAGGGAGGGAGGACACUACAUCGCUGCACCUUCCACAGAGGAAUUGGACCCUGCCCUGAGAAGACCCGUUGCCAUCCAGGGAGGGAAGACAGACUGCCUCGCUUCAUCUAACCUAACCUAACCAAUACAUGUUGUCAAUCACUCUUGUAAUGUUAUUCCUCCAUCUAAUGUGAAUGAACCCACACAUUAUUACUUCCAUGUUCUGUGAUGUACCCAUAUAACUGGUGUUAGCACUCAAUAAAUCAUGAUUAAGAAAA